UGAGCAUGAAAGACGACCGCGGGCGCCAAUGCGUCUGAGGAAAGUCCGGGCUCCGUAGGGCAGGGUGCUGGAUAACGUCCAGCGGGGGUGACCCCAGGAAUAGUGCCACAGAAAUGUAGACCGCCUGCUUCUGGCAGGUAAGGAUGGAACGGUGCGGUAAGAGCGCACCAGCAGUCGGGUGACCGGCUGGCUAGGUAAACUCCACCCGGAGCAAGACCAAAUAGGGAAGGGAUGAUGUUGCCCGCUGAACCUUCCGGGUUGUGUCGCUCGAACUGUCGGGUAAUCGGCAGUCUAGAUAAAUGAUCGUCACCGCGCAAGCGGAACAGAACUCGGCUUAUUGAUUGCUCAUAAA
rnacentral:RNase_P_RNA from 1 species